UCAGGGGGCGGGGCAGCCGCGUCAGGGGUAACCCUGCCGAGGAAAGUCCGGGCUCCACGAAACAAGGGUGGCGGGUAACGCCCGCCGGGGGGGAGGCGUAAGCUGACCCUCAAGGGAAAGUGCAACAGAGAGCAAACCGCCGAUGGGCCUUUCGGGGUCACAGGUAAGGGUGAAAGGUUGCGGUAAGAGCGCAACGCGGGGCUGGUAACAGCACCGGCACGGCAAACCCCACCCGGAGCAAGACCGAAUAGGGGCCAUACGCCUUGCAAAAGGCACGCGUGUUUCGCGCCAAUGGCCCGGGUUGGUUGCUAGAGCGCGCAUAGCAAUAUGCCGCCAAGAGGAAUGGCUGCCGCUGGCCGCCGCGUCGUUUACGAUACGUUCGUUGAUACGGGCGGCCUUCACAGAACCCGGCUUACAAGCCCCCUGACAUU
rnacentral:RNase_P_RNA from 1 species